GACAGAGGGUGCGAACGUUGUUCGGAAUUACUGGGCGUAAAGCGCAUGUAGGCGGCAGCGCAAGUCGGGCGUGAAAUCCCACGGCUCAACCGUGGAAGUGCACUCGAAACUGCGCAGCUAGAGUCCUGGAGAGGAAGGUGGAAUGCUUGGUGUAGAGGUGAAAUUCGUAGAUAUCAAGCGGAACACCGGUGGCGAAGGCGGCCUUACUGGACAGUGACUGACGCUGAGAGUGCGAAAGCGUGGGGAGCAAACAGG
rnacentral:rRNA from 1 species